rnacentral:rRNA from 1 species
AAGACCAAAGUGGGGGACCUUCGGGCCUCAUGCCAUCAGAUGUGCCCAGAUGGGAUUAGCUAGUAGGUGGGGUAACGGCUCACCUAGGCGACGAUCCCUAGCUGGUCUGAGAGGAUGACCAGCCACACUGGAACUGAGACACGGUCCAGACUCCUACGGGAGGCAGCAGUGGGGAAUAUUGCACAAUGGGCGCAAGCCUGAUGCAGCCAUGCCGCGUGUGUGAAGAAGGCCUUCGGGUUGUAAAGCACUUUCAGCGGGGAGGAAGGCG